UUGUCUCAAAGAUUAAGCCAUGCAUGUCUCAGUACAAGCCGAAUUAAGGUGAAACCGCGAAAGGCUCAUUAAAUCAGUUAUGGUUCCUUAGAUCGUACCCAUAUUUACUUGGAUAACUGUGGUAAUUCUAGAGCUAAUACAUGCAAACAGAGCUCCGACCGGAGACGGAAGGAGCGCUUUUAUUAGAUCAAAACCAAUCGGCUUCGGGCGCGAGCCCGUCGUCGUUCACUCUGGUGAAUCUGAAUAACUUUCUGCUGAUCGCACGGUCUAGCACCGGCGACGCAUCUUUCAAAUGUCUGCCUUAUCAACUGUCGAUGGUAGGUUCCGUGCCUACCAUGGUCGUAACGGGUAACGGGGAAUCAGGGUUCGAUUCCGGAGAGGGAGCCUGAGAAACGGCUACCACAUCCAAGGAAGGCAGCAGGCGCGCAAAUUACCCACUCCCGGCACGGGGAGGUAGUGACGAAAAAUAACGAUACGGGACUCAUCCGAGGCCCCGUAAUCGGAAUGAGUACACUCUAAACCCUUUAACGAGGAUCAAUUGGAGGGCAAGUCUGGUGCCAGCAGCCGCGGUAAUUCCAGCUCCAAUAGCGUAUAUUAAAGUUGUUGCGGUUAAAAAGCUCGUAGUCGAAUCUGUGUCUCGCGCCGCCGGUUCAUCGCUCGCGGUGUUUAACUGGCGUGUCCGCGAGACGUCCUGCCGGUGGGCUUAGCCCGCGAGGGCGGCCCAACUUUAAAUCCCGCCGCGGUGCUCUUCAUUGAGUGUCGAGGCGGGCCGGCACGUUUACUUUGAACAAAUUAGAGUGCUUAAAGCAGGCUAAAACUUCGCCUGAAUACUGUGUGCAUGGAAUAAUGGAAUAGGACCUCGGUUCUAUUUUGUUGGUUUUCGGAACCCCGAGGUAAUGAUUAAUAGGAACGGAUGGGGGCAUUCGUAUUGCGACGUUAGAGGUGAAAUUCUUGGAUCGUCGCAAGACGGACAGAAGCGAAAGCAUUUGCCAAAAA
rnacentral:rRNA from 2 species